GACGAACGCUGGCGGCGUGCUUAACACAUGCAAGUCGAACGCUGAAGCUCAGCUUUUGUUGGGUGGAUGAGUGGCGAACGGGUGAGUAACACGUGAGUAACCUGCCCCCUUCUUUGGGAUAACGCCCGGAAACGGGUGCUAAUACUGGAUAUUCACUGGUCUUCGCAUGGGGGUUGGUGGAAAGGGUUUUUCUGGUGGGGGAUGGGCUCGCGGCCUAUCAGCUUGUUGGUGGGGUGAUGGCCUACCAAGGCUUUGACGGGUAGCCGGCCUGAGAGGGUGACCGGUCACAUUGGGACUGAGAUACGGCCCAGACUCCUACGGGAGGCAGCAGUGGGGAAUAAUGCACAAUGGGCGCAAGCCUGAUGCAGCGACGCCGCGUGAGGGAUGGAGGCCUUCGGGUUGUGAACCUCUUUCGCUCACGGUCAAGCCGCAACAAUGGUUGUGGUGAGGGUAGUGGGUAAAGAAGCGCCGGCUAACUACGUG
rnacentral:rRNA from 1 species